UACGGAGGGUGCAAGCGUUAUCCGGAUUCACUGGGUUUAUAGGGUGCGUAGGCGGCUUUGUAAGUCAGUGGUGAAAGCCCGCAGCUUAACUGCGGAACUGCCAUUGAAACUGCUUAGCUUGAGUAUGAUUGAAGUGGGCGGAAUAUAUCAUGUAGCGGUGAAAUGCUUAGAUAUGAUAUAGAACACCGAUUGCGAAGGCAGCUCACUAAAUCACAACUGACGCUGAGGCACGAAAGCGUGGGUAGCAAACAGG
rnacentral:rRNA from 1 species